rnacentral:rRNA from 1 species
CCUACGGGAGGCAGCAGUAGGGAAUAUUGGUCAAUGGGUGAAAGCCUGAACCAGCCAUGCCGCGUGCAGGAAGAAGGCGUUAUGGGUUGUAAACUGCUUUUGCCAGGGGAUAAAAUAACUGUGCGCAGUUGAUUGAAGGUACCUGGUGAAUAAGCCACGGCUAACUACGUGCCAGCAGCCGCGGUAAUA